rnacentral:rRNA from 1 species
UCGAGAAUCUUCGGCAAUGGGCGCAAGCCUGACCGAGCGACGCCGCGUGGAGGAUGAAGGCCUUCGGGUUGUAAACUCCUGUCGAGGGGGAGGAAGGGGCAACCUUGACCGAUCCCUGGAGGAAGCACGGGCUAAGUUCGUGCCAGCAGCCGCGGUAAGACGAACCGUGCGAACGUUAUUCGGAAUCACUGGGCUUAAAGCGCGUGUAGGCGGAUGGGAACGUCGGCUUCUGAAAGCCCCCGGCUCAACCGGGGAAGUGGGGCCGAAACGACCCGUCUCGAGGGACGUAGGGGGAUCUGGAACUUCCGGUGGAGCGGUGAAAUGCGUUGAGAUCGGAAGGAACGCCCGUGGCGAAAGCGAGAUCCUGGACGUUUUCUGACGCUGAGACGCGAAAGCUAGGGGAGCAAACG